GCCGAGGUGGUGAAAUUGGUAUACACGCAGUCUUGAGGAGGCUGUGCCUUCGGGCGUGCGAGUUCAACUCUCGCCCUCGGCA
rnacentral:tRNA from 1 species